CACGUAGGGUGCGAGCGUUGUCCGGAAUUAUUGGGCGUAAAGAGCUCGUAGGCGGUUUGUCGCGUCUGCUGUGAAAACCUAAGGCUCAACCUUGGGCUUGCAGUGGGUACGGGCAGACUAGAGUGCGGUAGGGGUGACUGGAAUUCCUGGUGUAGCGGUGGAAUGCGCAGAUAUCAGGAGGAACACCGAUGGCGAAGGCAGGUCACUGGGCCGCAACUGACGCUGAGGAGCGAAAGCAUGGGGAGCGAACAGG
rnacentral:rRNA from 1 species